UGCAGAUCAUGAUGUACUGUAAGUAUCAAAUUUCACAGUACAAAUUACAGAUUAAAAGAGCAAUUUCCUUUUGUCAUCUGCCUGAUCAUCUAUACUUGCUAAUUCAAAUGAUCUAACCUUUGCGCUGGCAGGUCAGAAAGUAGUCAUAUGUCCUCAGAUGCUGCGGGCCACAAGGGGUGAUGACACCGCAGGUAGGGCAACAGCCGAGUCGAGGACGUCCACCGGGUGGAGGACGUCGCGGCUAACAGGGGCGACGGCGGUGUGGCGACGAUGGCGGGGUGAGGAAAGGUAGGGCAACAAGGUGGGUCGAGGAAGGACGUGCACCGGGGUGGAGGACAUCGCGGCCACCAGGGGCUAGGGCGGCGUGGCGACGGCGGCGGGGCGAGGAGAGGUAGGGCAGCAAGGCGGGUCAAGGAUGUCCACCGGGUCGAGGACGUCGCAGACACCAGCGCUGAUCGCGGCUGUUUGUGGCGUGGUGGCGGCAUAGAUCGUGGAGGUGUUGUUUAAUUCCCAGGAGGUGUCAUCG
rnacentral:lncRNA from 1 species